rnacentral:rRNA from 1 species
ACGGAAGGCAGCAGUGGGGGAUAUUGCACAAUGGGGGAAACCCUGAUGCAGCGACGCCGCGUGAGUGAAGAAGUAUUUCGGUAUGUAAAGCUCUAUCAGCAGGGAAGAUAAUGACGGUACCUGACUAAGAAGCACCGGCUAAAUACGUGCCAGCAGCCGCGGUAAUACGUAUGGUGCAAGCGUUAUCCGGAUUUACUGGGUGUAAAGGGAGCGUAGACGGCAUAGCAAGUCUGAUGUGAAAGCUAUGGGCUCAACCCAUAAACUGCAUUGGAAACUGUUAAGCUAGAGUGUCGGAGAGGUAAGUGGAAUUCCUAGUGUAGCGGUGAAACGCGUAGAUAUUAGGAGGAACACCAGUGGCGAAGGCGGCUUACUGGACGAUAACUGACGUUGAGGCUCGAAAGCGUGGGGAGCAAACAGGAUUAGAUACCCUGGUA